rnacentral:rRNA from 1 species
UACAGAGGGGGCAAGGCGUUGUUCGGAAUUACUGGGCGUAAAGGGCGCGUAGGCGGCGCAACAAGUCACUUGUGAAAUCUCCGGGCUUAACCCGGAGCGGUCAAGUGAUACUGUCGUGCUAGAGUGCGGAAGGGGCUACUGGAAUUCUCGGUGUAGCGGUGAAAUGCGCAGAUAUCGGGAGGAACACCGGUGGCGAAGGCGGUUCUCUGGGCCUGUGCUGACGCUGAGGAGCGAAAGCUAGGGGAGCAAACGGG